GACCACUCGGGAGAUGGCAUGCCUCCCGUUUCGCGGAAGCUUUCGGCAUCCCGGAACAAACCACCUCUCGCCCGGCGUUGAGGUUGAUGAUGCCUGCACCACC
rnacentral:ncRNA from 2 species